rnacentral:rRNA from 1 species
GACGAAGGGGGCAAGCGUUGUUCGGAAUUACUGGGCGUAAAGCGCGUGUAGGUGGUUGUCAUAGUCAGGCGUGAAAGCCUUGAGCUCAACUCAAGAAAUGCGCUUGAUACUGGGCAGCUAGAGGACCGGAGAGGAUAGUGGAAUUCCCAGUGUAGUGGUGAAAUACGUAGAGAUUGGGAAGAACACCAGUGGCGAAGGCGGCUAUCUGGACGGUUUCUGACACUAAGACUCGAAAGCGUGGGGAGCAAACAGG